ensembl:misc_RNA 7SK 7SK RNA
GGAUAAGAGGGUUAUCUGGCUACGACAUCUGUCACUCCACUGAUUGCCAGGCUUGAUUCGGCUCAUCUGGCUGGCUAAUUGGGUGUCCCCUUCCUCCCUCACCGCUCCAUGUGCGUCCCUCCCGAAGCUGCGCGCUCGGUAGAAGAGGACGACCUUCCCCGGUAAAGGAGAGGACCGUUCUUCGGUCAAGGGUAUACGAGUAGCUGCGCUCCCCUGCUAGAACCUCCAAACAAGCUCUCAAGGUCCAUUUGUAGGAGAACGUAGGGUAGUCAAGCUUCCGAGACUCCAGACACAUCCAAAUGAGGCUAUGUGUGUGGCAGUCUGCCUUUCUUU